GCUGGGUGCAGUGGUGCGUGCCUGUCGUGCCAGCUACUUGAGAGGCUGAGGUGGGAGGAUCACUUGAGCCCAGGAGUUCUGGGGUGUGGUGCGCUAUGCCAAUCGGGUGUCCGCACUAAGUUCAGCAUCAAUAUGGUGACCUCCCGGGAGCGGGGGACCACCAGGCUGCCUAAGGAGAGGUGAACCAGCCCAGAUUGGAAACGGAGCAGGUCAAAACUCCCAUGUUGAUCAGUAGCAGGAUGGCGCCUGUGAAUAGCCAGUGCACACCAGCCUGGGCAACACAGCAAGACCCCAUCUCUU
ensembl:misc_RNA Metazoa_SRP Metazoan signal recognition particle RNA